AAUAAGAUCAUUUUUUAGUUUUUUGAUACAAUGUUUUGACUCUUUGUCUUAUUUGAAAAUUUUUUGCGAUUAAUAUUUUUAUUCUUACUGGAUGAUAAAACAUUAAUAGUAUUUUAUGCGUGAAAGUUUAGGUUUUUAUACAAAUUUUUUAAAUAAUACGAAUGGUCAAACAUUGGACACGAAAAAAC
rnacentral:pre_miRNA from 1 species